UACGGAGGGUGCAAGCGUUAUCCGGAUUCACUGGGUUUAAAGGGUGCGUAGGCGGGCAGGUAAGUCAGUGGUGAAAUCCCCGAGCUUAACUUGGGACUGCCGUUGAUACUAUCUGUCUUGAAUACUAUGGAGGUAAGCGGAAUAUGUCAUGUAGCGGUGAAAUGCUUAGAUAUGACAUAGAACACCAAUUGCGAAGGCAGCUUGCUACACAGUUAUUGACGCUGAGCUCGAAAGCAUGGGGAGCAAACAGG
rnacentral:rRNA from 1 species